GUCACGUGACUCGUUAGUGUCUGUAGUCACCUGACUCGUUAGUGUCUGUAGUCACGUGACUCGUUAGUGUCGGUAGUCACCUGACUCGUUAGUGUCGGUAGUCAUGUGACUCGUUAGUGUCGGUGGUCAGGUGAGUCGUUAGUGUCAGUAGUCAGGUGAGUCGUUAGUGUCAGUAGUCAGGUGAGUCGUUAGUGUCGGUGGUCAGGUGAGUCGUUGUCAGUACAGAGUCGUGUGAGUCUCUUGAAUCCCUUUUGUCUGCAGAAGUGGACCAGAAGCUUUUCAGCCUUCAUGAGGCGAGUCCUCUGAAGCCGGAGGAUCCACAGCGAUGAAGAAGAAGAACCAGAAGAAGCUUUCAGAUCGGGUUUGGAUUCAUACACAUGAAGCCUCGUGGAGAUCUGAGGUGUGAGUCGGUACACUUUGAGGAAGAGAACCUGGUGUUGGUGGGAACUCUUAAUAGUCUCACGUGCUUCUGUAAUCGCUCUCCACACUGCAGCAGAGAAGCACGAGACUCAUUAAAUCCCUCCAGACCUCCUCAAACAUUCAUUCUGAAAGUCCUACCUGGAGGAGGCCAGAUGCUCGAGUAUCUCGAGUAAAGAUCAUACUAGCUAGUGAUUCAUGGUCUGUAAACCUGUGGAUUACUUUUUCCAUUAGCUGUUUAGUUUAUGAAAAUAAAACAAGUCCUCAAAUCUCUGGUUUGCUCACAACAAUCUGAUAAUAUUCAUAUUUAAGACAACUGGAGACUUUUUACUUUUUGCAUCAAACUGAUUCCUCAACUCAACGGUAGCCGAUAAUUAUACUUGAAUAAA
ensembl:lncRNA